AAACCUCCAGUACUCGACUCCUGUGUGUGCCUCACUCAAAGAUACAAGACACAACGCAGAAAGACAUCGGUUACAAAUGGUGCCGUGACCCGGAUGCUUCAGAUCAGCCGCUGCAGAUCGCCGAGGUUAUGCUAAACUCUGAGUGGAGAGUGAUAUCCCGGAUUGUGUGUGACGCCCGUGUUGUUUUGUCUCCUUUGGAAAGAAUAAACCUCCAGUACUCGA